ensembl:lncRNA novel transcript
ACACAGUGAUGGCCUGCAGUGGUGAACCAGUGAGGGAACAAGUCCUAUGGUUGGGGAGCUACCUGAGGCUGGAGAGCAGAGUACAGCCAGGCCCACAGUGGUGCAGCAUACCAGAGUCAAGGUCUCACUAGGAUGUCCAGGCUGGCCUCGAACUCCUGGGCUCAAGCAAUCCACCUGCCUUGGCCUCUGAAAGUGCAGGAAUUACAGAGGAGUGUAUUUAGAGUCAACAACCACACAUGGCUAAUCUCUCAGAAUGUUUCAUCAUGAGAUGUGAGCAUCAUGUUCCAGGCCCUGAGUGCUUCAUAAAAAAAAAAGUUCCUUUUCCACCAAAACAAUGCCCUGAUUUGAGUGCUUCAUCAAAAGAGAAAGAUUUCUCAUGAUAAACCAUAUUCUAAGCACUUAGAUCACAAUAUAGUAAAUUUUCAAAAGGAAGUCACUUUUGCCAAGAUAUAAAGGCUCAUGUACGUAAA